AUUGAACGCUGGCGGCAGGCCUAAUACAUGCAAGUCGAACGGUAACAUAGGAAAAGCUUGCUUUUCCUGAUGACGAGUGGCGGACGGGUGAGUAAGAUUUGGGAAGCUACCUGAUAGAGGGGGACAACAGUUGGAAACGACUGCUAAUACCGCAUACAGCCUGAGGGUGAAAGCAGCGAUGCGCUAUCAGAUGCGCCCAAAUGGGAUUAGCUAGUAGGUGAGGUAAAAGGCUCAACCUAGGCGACGAUCUCUAGCUGGUCUGAGAGGAUGAUCAGCCACAUUGGGACUGAGACACGGCCCCAAAACUUCCCUAGGGGAGGGCAGCAGUGGGGAAUAUUGCACAAUGGGGAACCCUGAUGCAGCGACGCC
rnacentral:rRNA from 1 species